UUUCAAUUAAUCCGUAAACGAAUCUCUCAUCACUCAACCCUCUCUCACUCACUUUCCAAUUCUAAAAACCCUAAUCGCAGGCAACAAAACAUUAAACAAACCAACUCUGUUAUGAAGAGACGCUGCUACAGAUACAAUGGCUUCCCAUCGUCGUCGUUCUUCAACCUAAACUCUGUUAAAUUUUAAUGUCACAUAUUCACUAACAAUUAGUUAUUGAUUGAUUCAUUGUAUUCUCUCCUCUGAUCCCUAAUUUACUCUCUUUCUCACUGCUAACUUCCAUAUUUUUUUCCUUUUCUCGAUUUCAUCGUUUGUUUGAUUGCAAUUUUUUUUGUAUUAUUAUUUUUGUGUUGAAUUUUUAUCUUUAUUGUUAUUGUUUUGGUCUGGGGGAAAGUUGUGUUUGGAAUCUGAGAAAAUGGGUUUGAUUUCGGUGAUUUUCAUGGGGAUGAUCUUGCGGAUUGUGUUAAUGGCUGGAUGGAGUCACAUGAUGAGGCAACGCAGCACCAAUCGAAUUGCUAAGAGAAGAAAAGCCGCCAUUGUUAUCUUCAUCAAGAAAACUGUGAGAGCUCUCGUCAAGACUUAGAUUUGGACUCACUGAUCGAACACUAAAACGCUUUCGUAAGGUGGAAUGGCAAAGAGUUACUUCAAGCAAGAGCAUGAUCUUGAUAAGAGACAGUGCAGAGGCUGCUAGAAUUAGAGAGAAAUACCCUAAUAGGAUUCCGGUGAUUGUGGAGAAAGCAGAGAGAAGUGAUAUUCCAAAUAUUGACAAGAAGAAUCACAGCUCUUCAAGAUCUUUACUGGAAUCUCAACCUUCCAUCAGAGCUGAGGGGAUGGAGAACCGAGGGUGGAGAUCCAUGUGAUGAAUCAUGGGGUUUUAGAUAAUUAUCUUAAUUGUGUGAAAUUGUAUUGCUUAUGUUGAUUAGGCACAGUUAUAUACUAUCCUAGAGCUAUGUCGUGCAUUUGAUCGGGUAUUUAAGGAGCAUUUGGAUGGAGGGUAAUAUUUUCUCACCUUUUGGUUUCCUCAACCAGGUCUUCACAUAUACAUUUAGUAUAUUUAUUAAAACAUCGUUUUAGAUUUGUAGAAUAAUUUUUGAAUACUGAACUGUUCCACCUAGAUAGAUUUUUCUGUUUUUUUCGUUUACAUAUGAAUUUGAAUUAUUCCUCCAAAUUUUCUAUAAG